rnacentral:rRNA from 1 species
AAUAUUGGACAAUGGGGGCAACCCUGAUCCAGCCAUGCCGCGUGUGUGACGAAGGUCCUCGGAUUGUAAAGCACUCUAUGUUGGGAGGAAUGGCCUUAGGUUAAUACCCUGACGGUUUGACGUUACCAACAGAAUAACACCCGCAUAACUCUGUCCCAUCAGCCGCGGUAAUACAGAGGGUGCAAGCGUUAAUCGGAAUUACUGGGCGUAAAGCGCGCGUAGGUGGUUCAGUAAGAUGGGUGUGAAAUCCCCGGGCUUAACCUGGGAACUGCUUUCAUAACUGCUGAGCUAGAGUACGGUAGAGGGUAGUGGAAUUUCCUGUGUAGCGGUGAAAUGCGUAGAUAUAGGAAGGAGCACCAGUGGCGAAGGCGACUACCUGGACUGAUACUGACACUGAGGUGCGAAAGCGCGGGGAGCAAAC